ensembl:Mt_tRNA
AGCCUCGAGGUGUUAUACAUAUCAGAUUGCAAAUCCGAAGCAGCAGGUUAGAACCCUGCCGGGGCUU